GACGAACGCUGGCGGCGUGCCUAAUACAUGCAAGUCGAGCGAAUCGANGGGAGCUUGCUCCCUGAGAUUAGCGGCGGACGGGUGAGUAACACGUGGGCAACCUGCCUAUAAGACUGGGAUAACUUCGGGAAACCGGAGCUAAUACCGGAUACGUUCUUUUCUCGCAUGAGAGAAGAUGGAAAGACGGUUUACGCUGUCACUUAUAGAUGGGCCCGCGGCGCAUUAGCUAGUUGGUGAGGUAAUGGCUCACCAAGGCGACGAUGCGUAGCCGACCUGAGAGGGUGAUCGGCCACACUGGGACUGAGACACGGCCCAGACUCCUACGGGAGGCAGCAGUAGGGAAUCUUCCGCAAUGGACGAAAGUCUGACGGAGCAACGCCGCGUGAACGAAGAAGGCCUUCGGGUCGUAAAGUUCUGUUGUUAGGGAAGAACAAGUACCAGAGU
rnacentral:rRNA from 1 species